rnacentral:rRNA from 1 species
ACGGGGUGCAGCAGGCGCGAAACCUCCACAAUGCGCGAAAGCGUGAUGGGGUUAUCCCGAGUGCCGUCCGAUGAGGAUGGCUUUUCAUCGGUGUAAGGAUCCGAUGGAAUAAAGGGGGGGCAAGACUGGUGUCAGCCGCCGCGGUAAUACCAGCCCCCUGAGUGGUAAGGACGAUUAUUUGGCCUAAAGCGUUCGUAGCCGGCUUAUCAAGUCUUUUGUUAAAUCCAACGAUUCAAUCGUUGGGCCGCAAAAGAUACUGUUAUGCUAGAGGACGGGAGAGGUCGACGGUAUUCCAGGGGUAGGGGUGAAAUCCUAUAAUCCUUGGAGGACCACCAGUGGCGAAGGCGGUCGACUAGAACGUGCCUGACGGUGAGGGACGAAAGCUGGGGGAGCGAACCGGAUUAGAUACCCGGGUAGUCCCAGCCGUAAACGAUGCGGGCUAGGUGUUGGGGCAGCCACGAGCUGCUCCAGUGCCGCAGAGAAGUUAUUAAGCCCGCCGCCUGGGAGUACGCCGCAAGGC